UGGACUGUAAAGUUUUCCCAUGGGUUUUUGCAUAUCCCUUCGACAGGCUGUAUUAUUUACAGAAUUGGGUAGGGGAAGGCUACUCUGUCAGCUGUGGUUGGUUGCCUUAUCUUUGUUCUUGAGAGAAUAGCUUGGACUUUUCCACCACACAUGAAGAUUUUAUUUGAAAGCAGAGAUACUUGCCCCUGCCAGCUACCAUCAGAUAAAAUUAAAUAGAAGGCCAUACUUGUAUCUCUGGGGUGCAUGCUUAGUACUGCAAUCAUUGCUAUGGAGAUAUAAAGUUCAAGAACACAACAUGCGUGCUUUCGAGGAGCGUAUCAUUAUUCAGGAAGUCAAGACACCAGUGAAUGAAAAGAAAACUCACUUUCUGCAAUAGCGCAAAAGAGCAGUGAAGAUGGUGCUCAGAUGAACUGUAAGUGUUCAGAUGAGGGAAACCAUGGAAGACAUCAUGGAGGAGGUGAGACUUGUACAGGAGAUUUCUUCUGUUCCUGGUAGAAUUGUGAGAUGCUGCAUCUGCGUUCCAGCUUUCAAGAAUAUAAUCUAUCAUCUGAAAACUUAAAGUCUUUUUUUAAAAAAAUUAGAUCAAAGCAGAGAGAAAAUGAUCUUCAAGUUUCUUUACCAAACUUGGUAUGUUCUUUUGGACUGAAAACUGAUGGAGUUGGAAGUGACUUUUGUAGUGAAAAUGAGGCUGGAGUAAUUAAUAUUGUUCCAGUGUUCUGGUUAUGCGCAGGAGUGAAUCAUGAUACCCAAAUUACAAUGACUCAUCUCUUCUGAGAGAAUAAAUUGUGAUUCUAUGAAAGUUUUGCUUCACUAGGAAUUUUUUGAAGGGUUCUGUUUGUUCUAGUUUAGAAACCUACACAGGCAAUAUGGGCUUUGCAAAGGUAUAAAAUUUUCUUAAAUAAAACUAAACAAAGAUCUAUUUUGAUUUUCAGCGUUGGAUUUUUUUUUUUUCUUGCCUUUCCUUUGCUUCUGGGAGAAAGUAUCUUCAGACAGGAAGCUUUGAGCUACUCAUAAAUUCUCCCUAACACUGCAGAAACAUAUUUCACUAUGAAAUGGUGGAGAUGACAGUAAGAGCCUCUUGUUUGAGGGGCAAAGCUGAGACAUCCUGAAUGCUAUGGAAGUUUAAUCUUCCAUGCUGACGCAAUCACGGGAAUAUUGUGCUCCUGGGGUUUUCUUUAUUGCCAGCUACUGUCUAAUGCCAGGACAAAAGGAAUAAUUUGAUUACAGCCGAGGAAAGCACAGUUUGUUCCUGUUACUUUUAAGUUUCUUUCUGUUUUUCAUUUGUUUUGAAAUGAGAGAUUGAGAACUCAGAAUGUAUUUGGUACAAAAUGAAAGAUAACUACUGCCUAGAGCUAUAUGGCAAAGACUGCAAUAUUUAGGGUGGCUCGAAUAAAAGGAGCUCUCUGCUUCUUAUCUAGUUAACAAAAUGAUAAAGGGAUCCUGUCUGGCAUAUGCGAUUAAUUCUCCCUUAGGAAAGGGACAUAAAUUAUUCUUAAUUGCCGAGUUAUGGGUCUGUUAUAAUUAAAGUUUGUUACUGGGGGUAAAAUGACACCAAGGGAGCAAAGACUGGACAAUCUGCCCACAUGGGAAUGUGUCUUCACCUGAACUUGGACCCAUUUGUGAAUCAGCAAAACUUUAGCUUUCUUCCUCCAUCCUGUGCUCCUUCUGUUAUGAAACCUCAUUGGCUCCAUUCUUCCCAAAAGCUUAUUUCUGUCUGUGAACUUUCCUACCCAUGUUGAGGUCGUAUUCUGUCAGUGGAGAGGAGGACUGAGUCUCUUCUCUUUUGGAUGCAACUUGAAACCUGAAAAUCUGAAAGGGGAGAACAUUCUCCAAAUCUACAAAUAGCAGAUUGGCUUAAUUUUGAAGCCUUCUUGUCCUCAAAAGAAAAAGGGGUGGGGUCAGGGUAGAAAGAGUUAUACAGUCAUUUUAGGUUUUGCACUUGGGAUCAAUGAAGGAGUUUGUUUGCCUUAGGAUGGGAAAAACUUUUAGAGCCCCCUGGAGUUCAGUGAGCCAGAUAGGUGAUCAAGUCUCAGGAUGAAGCCAAUGCUACAGGUACUGAUGAUAACAUCAAACAGGUCUCAGGGUCUCCAAAGUUUAGUAGGGACCUUGAGACACCAUGGAGACCACUCCUAUACUUUCCCAACAUUUGUAUAUUCUCAGACAGCUAAGAACCCAUCAGCUUUAUGAAGCCUUCCUGAAAGAGAGGUUCUGCAGAAAUCUUAUCUCCCCAACUAGCAUGUUAGUACUUCAUGGAAAGAAACUGUGUAUUGGAUUGAUUUUUAAUUUUUUAGUUUUUAACUUUUGUGGUACAUAAUAGGUAUAUAUAUUUGUGAGAUACAUGAGAUGUUUUGAUACAGGCAUGCAAUAUGUAAUAAUCCCAUAAAGGAAAAUGGGGUAUCCAUGCCCUCAGGCAUUUAUCCUUUGUGUUACAAUCUAAUUUUACUCUUUUAGUUAGUUAAAAAUGUACAAUUAAAUUAUCUUUACUUGGACAUUGUUAUAUCAACAUUGUGUAGUAAAGUUCUGUGCACAGUUUAGAUGUUUAAUGCAUAUUUAAGGCCUAACUGAACAUGUUCCUUGAACCUUUUUCUGGCACCUGCCCUCCUUAACCCACUAAGUUUGAGAAGAAAUUGGGAGAUGAAAGAUGGUCCAACUACCUUCCCGUCCCUCAGUUUAUAUCACGCUAUGGUAAACUCGUGGCAUCAGAAGUAUUUAUCCUCAACCCUCCAGCCUCCCCUUCCUAGUAUCCCCUCUUAACACCAAAUAACCAAUGAAUAGAGGAGUAGGUACAGACUAGAGAGCCUGGGCUCAGCUGCAGCCCAACUUAGCAGUGUUUCAGUUGAAAAGAACUUCUUCU
rnacentral:lncRNA from 1 species